GUCAGUUGGAUAGCUCAGUUGGUUAGAGCAUGGUGCUGAUAACGUCAUGGUUGCAGGUUCGAUCCCCAUAUGGGACA
rnacentral:tRNA from 1 species